rnacentral:tRNA from 1 species
GGGGUUGUAGCUCAGUGGCAGAGCACUUACCUCGCAUGCAUGAGGCACUGGGUUCAAUCCUCAGCCCCA